rfam:Anopheles gambiae str. PEST whole genome shotgun sequencing project, whole genome shotgun sequence.
AGCAAUACCUCGCUGAUACGGGGGUGGAUCCGAAGCCUCUAGAAGGUUAACAUAAGCUCUCCACCUCCUACUCCUACUUAAUAUGUCCCCGUCGUACAGAACGGUAACAUGUCUCUCAAUUAUCCAAGCUUGGGUAUACGGGGAAACCCAUCCCCUUGGGCGGAUGGGUUGCAUGGCUAAAUUGAGAGGG